CACCCUCGUCAGUCGUCUGUUCGCUACCACGCUCAGGCACCUCCGGCCUCAGCCUCGAGUGGCGCCCAUGGCCAUCCCCACGGCCCUCGCCGUCCGCGCCUCUCCCUCCUGCCAAUUCUCGCACAGUUCGUCCUUUGCCUGCUCUCCCUUGUUUAGGCGGAAUGGAAGCACUGCAUCUCGGCUCCUCCGAGGACUGCAAGUUUUAACAUCAGGUGUUUCUGCACGGUUGGAUGAGAGGAUACAUAGUCAAUCUUAUAUGAGGAAAAAUACAAUCGUGGCAUCAGAGAAUGAAAAUCCACCUUUAAUGCCUGCUAUCAUGACUCCUGGUGGCCCUCUGGAUCUGGCAACCGUACUGCUAGGAAACCGUAUAAUCUUCAUUGGUCAAUAUGUUAACUCGCAAGUGGCACAACGUGUGAUAUCACAGCUUGUCACACUUUCUGCUAUAGAUGAAGAGGGUGAUAUUCUGAUCUAUCUUAACUGCCCUGGCGGAAGUCUCUAUUCUAUCUUAGCAAUUUAUGAUUGCAUGUCCUGGAUCACACCGAAAGUUGGGACAGUGUGCUUUGGUGUUGUUGCUAGUCAAGCAGCAAUCAUUCUUGCUGGUGGUGAGAAGGGAAUGCGCUAUGCGAUGCCUAAUGCCAGAGUAAUGAUUCAUCAGCCUCAAGGUGGAUCGGAGGGUAAUACGGAGGAGGUGAGGAGACAGGUUGGGGAAACCAUUUAUGCUCGAGAUAAAGUUGACAAAAUGUUUGCUGCUUUCACGGGGCAACCCAUCGAUAUAGUGCAACAGUGGACAGAGAGGGAUCGUUUCAUGUCGUCGUCCGAGGCCAUGGACUUCGGACUAGUCGACGCAUUGCUGGAAACGGGAUGCUAAGCAAACGGCUGCAAAUUGGAGCUCUAAGUCAGAUACAUUCAUCAUGUUUCGUUGCCCUUUCAGUUGUGACCGACCUAUGUUCAGUCACUAGGGAUGAGAAGAAGGGAUGUCAUUUGCCUCUUAGGAGUCUGGCUUCGGCUGCGGGUGAUUUUGUGUUGGAGAUAUUAUUGAUUUUCUGAUUAAUUUAAUUCAUAAGUAAAUCAUCACGACAAUGUUGACAAUCCUAAUCUCACAUUGUAAGCUAAUGACGCGAUUGCGUGCUAGGCAUAUAUCAUAUGGAACUAUAUGAAACUUAUAACCAGAAUACUAGGCCCGUAAGGGUUUGAAAUUUCUGAUUAUUUUGACUUCUUUUUACGGCUCGUCAAUUUGACGCAUGUGACUGGGUUAAUUCUGUGCAUAGUUUUUUUUUAAAACUCGUUAUAAUGUUUUGCAUAUUUGGCCAUGUUUGUCAGGCCAACUAAAGACAUCUCUGAAGAAUUGCUCUGUUCUAGCAUGUCGGAAGCAGCAUGGACCGUCGAUCUGCCAUCCAGUGGCUCCCGAACGAAGAUAACGGUUCGCUACUGGAAUGUCAUCUCCACCGUGGAUCUCCCAUCCAACGGCUGUCAUCGCUCCGAGGGUCGCUGUUGAUCAUCCGACAAUGCAUGUGCUCUGCUUUUGCUCUUUGCUUUGCUUUUCACCUGUAAUGGCUAUAAAGCCACCGCUCCUUCUCCAUUCUGGACAUGAUGAUUGUAACUGGGUAUAAACCCUAGCCGCCGGUGGCGUGCUUGCUACUUUCCCCUUUUGCCGCAAUACAAACCCUAGCGCAAAUUCUCUCAAAUU
rnacentral:rRNA from 1 species